UACGAAGGGGGCUAGCGUUGCUCGGAAUCACUGGGCGUAAAGCGCACGUAGGCGGAUUCUUAAGUCAGGGGUGAAAUCCUGGAGCUCAACUCCAGAACUGCCUUUGAUACUGAGGGUCUUGAGUUCGGGAGAGGUGAGUGGAACUGCGAGUGUAGAGGUGAAAUUCGUAGAUAUUCGCAAGAACACCAGUGGCGAAAGGCGGCUCACUGGCCCGAGUACUGACGCUGAGGUGCGAAAGCGUGGGGAG
rnacentral:rRNA from 1 species